rnacentral:rRNA from 1 species
UACGUAUGGUGCAAGCGUUAUCCGGAUUUACUGGGUGUAAAGGGUGCGUAGGUGGUAUGGCAAGUCAGAAGUGAAAGGCUGGGGCUCAACCCCGGGACUGCUUUUGAAACUGUCAAACUAGAGUACAGGAGAGGAAAGCGGAAUUCCUAGUGUAGCGGUGAAAUGCGUAGAUAUUAGGAGGAACACCAGUGGCGAAGGCGGCGGGCGGGACGGAAACGGACACGGAGGCACGAAAGCGGGGGGAGCAAACAGGAGGAGAGACCCCGGUAGUCCGGCUGACUGACG